rnacentral:rRNA from 1 species
UACGUAGGGUGCAAGCGUUGUCCGGAAUUAUUUGGGCGUAAAGAGCUCGUAGGCGGUCUGUCGCGUCGGCUGUGAAAUCCCGGGAGCUCAACUCCGGGUCUGCAGUCGAUACGGGCAAACUGGAGUACUGCAGGGGAGACUGGAAUUCCUGGUGUAGCGGUGAAAUGCGCAGAUAUCAGGAGGAACACCGGUGGCGAAGGCGGGUCUCUGGGCAGUAACUGACGCUGGAGGAGCGAAAGCGUGGGGAGCGAACAGG